UUGAGGUCGUUCAACCAGCAA
rnacentral:miRNA from 1 species